CCCUGGCCUCCGCCUCAUCCUCUCCACCCGCGGAGAAGUCGGAGCCGCCCCCCCUACCAGCACGCAGUCAGAGCCCCCCACGCAGUCAGACUGAUUCUCGCACUUCAAAUCCCCGCUGCCGCGGCCCCAUUUGUGUCCUGCCAGGCACAGCUGCCCUCGCCCAACCGGCCCACGGAGCGUCUGGAGUUCUCCCGGUCCCGCGCUCACGCCUCCCCGGGCCGCCUCCGCCCCCGCGGGCAGCGCCUUACCGCCGGUGUCCUCGAAGCGCGGGGGCGGGCGGUCCCGCAGCGUGGCACUCCAACCCGCGCCGGCCUCGUCCUCCUCCGACUCCUGCGCGUCGGGGGCGCAGGGCGGCGGCGGGGGCCCGGGGCGCUCGUGCUCGUCGUCCGAGGAAGCGGCCGAGGAGGAGCGCGAGGCGGCAGACGUGCUGUAGAAGGGGUUCCCGCCGCUGUCCGGGCCCGACUCGCCGAACACGUCGUCCGAGAUGUGCAGGCUCUCGUAGCGCGCGCGGGCCGCCUCGAGCAGCGCCGGCGCCCUCCGCCCUACGGCUGCCGCUGCGUCUCCUCGGCGCCCGCCGCGUCCCCGCGCGCCCUCCCGCUGCACCCAGCGCUCCGCGGCCGACCUUCCCGGGCGCGAGCCGCCAGAGGCGGACCUCGCCUCCUCGCACCUCCGGCCCACCGGCCAAUGACGAGCCAGGCCGGGGCGGGGCCGGCGCGAGGCACGCCCCACUCCCUCACCCGGGCGGGGCGAGGAGCGCGGCGGCGGCGAGCGAACGCGAAGGGGGAGGGCGGUCGGUGGCUUCCCGGCCUGCAGGGACGUGCGGCCCGGGACAGCCACCCGCAGGCCCUGCGAUACCCCGCAGGGGGAAGGGAAGAACCGAGUGAGUGUCGGGAGGGGAGGGGACUCAGCCGGUUCUUCCUGCCGCCCGAGUCUGCUCACGGAGCGCGAGCCCCGCGCUCACGGUCCCCUGCCGCAGUUGGCGCCAGGCGCCCGGGAGCUGUCCGCCUCGAUGGUUCUGAACCAGGCGCUGCGGAAACUCCAGGGCUUCUGAAUGUGAGACAGACAGGAAAAGCCCACUGUGGGCAGCAGCAGGAGAAGGAGAAGCGACGGAGAGGAGGUGAUUCACAACCUGGAGGGAGAGAAGAAGGGAACAGUGGAAGCCUGCGGCAUCCCCAGGGCUGCUGGC
rnacentral:lncRNA from 1 species